rnacentral:rRNA from 1 species
CUACGGGUUGCUGCAGUAAGGAAUAUUGGUCAAUGGACGAAAGUCUGAACCAGCCAUGCCGUGUGAAGGAUUAAGGUCCUCUGGAUUGUAAACUUCUUUUAUAUGGGACGAAAAAAGGUCUUUCUAGAUCACUUGACGGUACCAUAUGAAUAAGCACCGGCUAACUCCGGGCCAGCAGCCGCGGUAAUACGGAGGGUGCAAGCGUUAUCCGGAUUCACUGGGUUUAAAGGGUGCGUAGGCGGGCAGGUAAGUCAGUGGUGAAAUCCUGGAGCUCAACUCCAGAACUGCCAUUGAUACUAUCUGUCUUGAAUAUUGUGGAGGUAAGCGGAAUAUGUCAUGUAGCGGUGAAAUGCUUAGAUAUGACAUAGAACACCCAUUGCGAAGGCAGCUUACUACGCAUAUAUUGACGCUGAGGCACGAAAGCGUGGGGAUCAAACAGGAUUAGAUACCCUUGUAGUC